UACGAAGGGGGCUAGCGUUGUUCGGAAUUACUGGGCGUAAAGCGCGUGUAGGCGGGCCGUUAAGUCGGGGGUGAAAGCCCAGAGCUCAACUCUGGAACUGCCUUCGAUACUGGCGGCCUGGAGCAUGAUAGAGGCGAGUGGAAUUGCGAGUGUAGAGGUGAAAUUCGUAGAUAUUCGCAGGAACACCAGUGGCGAAGGCGACUCGAUGGAUCAUUGCUGACGCUGAGACGCGAAAGCGUGGGGAGCAAAAAGG
rnacentral:rRNA from 1 species